ACUUCUUUAUCACCGAGUGCUUGCACUCACCGGUAAAGGGUUGAGAGGCGAACGGGUGAGUAACACGUGGGCAACCUGCCCAAAAGAGGGGGAUAACACUUGGAAACAGGUGCUAAUACCGCAUAACCAUAGUUACCGCAUGGUAGCUAUGUAAAAGGUGGCUAUGCUACCGCUUUUGGAUGGGCCCGCGGCGCAUUAGCUAGUUGGUGGGGUAAAGGCUUACCAAGGCAAUGAUGCGUAGCCGAACUGAGAGGUUGAUCGGCCACAUUGGGACUGAGACACGGCCCAAACUCCUACGGGAGGCAGCAGUAGGGAAUCUUCCACAAUGGGCGAAAGCCUGAUGGAGCAACGCCGCGUGGGUGAAGAAGGUCUUCGGAUCGUAAAACCCUGUUGUUAGAGAAGAAAGUGCGUGAGAGUAACUGUUCACGUUUCGACGGUAUCUAACCAGAAAGCCACGGCUAACUACGUGCCAGCAGCCGCGGUAAUACGUAGGUGGCAAGCGUUAUCCGGAUUUAUUGGGCGUAAAGGGAACGCAGGCGGUCUUUUAAGUCUGAUGUGAAAGCCUUCGGCUUAACCGGAGUAGUGCAUUGGAAACUGGGAGACUUGAGUGCAGAAGAGGAGAGUGGAACUCCAUGUGUAGCGGUGAAAUGCGUAAAUAUAUGGAAGAACACCAGUGGCGAAAGCGGCUCUCUGGUCUGUAACUGA
rnacentral:rRNA from 1 species